rnacentral:rRNA from 1 species
AUUGAACGCUGGCGGCAGGCUUAACACAUGCAAGUCGAGCGAGCGGCGGACGGGUGAGUAAUGUCUGGGAAACUGCCUGAUGGAGGGGGAUAACUACUGGAAACGGUAGCUAAUACCGCAUACCAUCAGAUGUGCCCAGAUGGGAUUAGCUAGUAGGUGGGGUAAUGGCUCACCUGGGCGACGAUCCCUAUCGGGUCUGAGAGGAUGACCAGCCAAACUGGAACUUAGACACGUUCCAGACUCCUACGGGAGGCAGCAGUGGGGAAUAUUGCACAAUGGGCGAAAGCCUGAUGCAGCCAUUCCGCGUGUGUGAAGAAGGCCUUCGGGUUGUAAAGCACUUUCAGCGGGGAGGCGUUAGUCGAAGAAGAAGCACCGGCUAACUCCGUGCCAGCAGCCGCGGUAAUAG